GUCGAGCGAACAGAUAAGGAGCUUGCUCCUUUGACGUUAGCGGCGGACGGGUGAGUAACACGUGGAUAACCUACCUAUAAGACUGGGAUAACUUCGGGAAACCGGAGCUAAUACCGGAUAAGAUUUUGAACCGCAUGGUUCAAUAGUGAAAGACGGCCUUGCUGUCACUUAUAGAUGGAUCCGCGCCGUAUUAGCUAGUUGGUAAGGUAACGGCUUACCAAGGCAACGAUACGUAGCCGACCUGAGAGGGUGAUCGGCCACACUGGAACUGAGACACGGUCCAGACUCCUACGGGAGGCAGCAGUAGGGAAUCUUCCGCAAUGGGCGAAAGCCUGACGGAGCAACGCCGCGUGAGUGAUGAAGGUCUUCGGAUCGUAAAACUCUGUUAUCAGGGAAGAACAAACGUGUAAGUAACUGUGCACGUCUUGACGGUACCUGAUCAGAAAGCCACGGCUAACUACGUGCCAGCAGCCGCGGUAAUACGUAGGUGGCAAGCGUUAUCCGGAAUUAUUGGGCGUAAAGCGCGCGUAGGCGGUUUUUUAAGUCUGAUGUGAAAGCCCACGGCUCAACCGUGGAGGGUCAUUGGAAACUGGAAAACUUGAGUGCAGAAGAGGAAAGUGGAAUUCCAUGUGUAGCGGUGAAAUGCGCAGAGAUAUGGAGGAACACCAGUGGCGAAGGCGACUUUCUGGUCUG
rnacentral:rRNA from 1 species